CCUACGGGUGGCAGCAGUGAGGAAUAUUGGUCAAUGGACGAGAGUCUGAACCAGCCAAGUAGCGUGAAGGAUGACUGCCCUAUGGGUUGUAAACUUCUUUUAUAUGGGAAUAAAUUGUUCUACGUGUGGGAUUUUGUAUGUCCCAUAUGAAUAAGGCUCGGCUAACUCCGUGCCAGCAGCCGCGGUAAUCCGGAGGAGCCGAGCGUUAUCCGGAUUUAUUGGGUGGAAAGGGUGUGUAGGUGGAUUGUUAAGUCAGUUGUGAAAGUUUGCGGCUCAACCGUAAAAUUGCAGUUGAAACUGGCAGGCUUGAGUGCAGUAGAGGUGAGCGGAAUUCGUGGUGUAGCGGUGAAAUGCUUAGAUAUCACGAAGAACUCCGAUUGCGAAGGCAGCUCACUGGACUGCAACUGACGCUGAGGCUCGAAAGUGUGGGUAUCAAACAGGAUUAGAUACCCGAGUAGUC
rnacentral:rRNA from 1 species